UACGUAGGCAGCGAGCGUUGCUCGGAAUCACUGGGCGUAAAGGGUGCGUAGGCGGGUCUUUAAGUCAGGGGUGAAAUCCUGGAGCUCAACUCCAGAACUGCCUUUGAUACUGAGGAUCUUGAGUUCGGGAGAGGUGAGUGGAACUGCGAGUGUAGAGGUGAAAUUCGUAGAUAUUCGCAAGAACACCAGUGGCGAAGGCGGCUCACUGGCCCGAUACUGACGGCUGAGGCACGAAAAGCGUGGGGAG
rnacentral:rRNA from 1 species